ACUCUCUCAGCUCUGCAUGGUCACACUAGAUGCUACUCGUGUGACUUUCGUAAUCGGGAGAGACAGAAAGGAUCCCCUCAGUUCUCGGGCUGGCCUCACAGUGUGGCCGCUUGAUUCUCGAGGGGCACGACACAC